AUGCGUUAUUCAUGCAAGCCGUCUAUGACCACUCGUUGGUCGAGGAUUUCGUAAAGUUCGUCUUCAUGGUCGAAUCUCCAAGAGUUCAACAGAUUUUUUAAACUUUGCAAACUUUUUAUUGGUGAACAUAUUCUUGAAAAACUCAUGAAGCUUUUAUCUUUAUUUCUUUUAUAUUAUUUUAGCUUCAAUUUGUAUGAACUUCCCUCGUUUGAGGUUUUAUAUAUAUAUAAAAACUACGGGAUUAUUUUUAUUUAAAACUUUACCAUUUUAAAA
rnacentral:sRNA from 1 species